UGGGUAAUGCCCCCGUCCCUCUUAGGAUACCUGAACGGAAACCUCUGGAGACUUUGCCCCCCACCCACC